rnacentral:rRNA from 1 species
UCCUACGGGAGGCAGCAGUGGGGAAUAUUGCACAAUGGGCGCAAGCCUGAUGCAGCCAUGCCGCGUGUGUGAAGAAGGCCUUCGGGUUGUAAAGCACUUUCAGCAGUGAGGAAGGAGGUGUUGUUAAUAGCGGUAUCUUUUGACGUUAGCUGCAGAAGAAGCACCGGCUAACUCCGUGCCAGCAGCCGCGGUAAUACGGAGGGUGCGAGCGUUAAUCGGAAUUACUGGGCGUAAAGCGCAUGCAGGUGGUUUGUUAAGUCAGCUGUGAAAGCCCCGGGCUCAACCUGGGAAUUGCAUUUGAAACUGGCAGACUAGAGUACUGUAGAGGGGGGUAGAAUUUCAGGUGUAGCGGUGAAAUGCGUAGAGAUCUGAAGGAAUACCGGUGGCGAAGGCGGCCCCCUGGACAGAUACUGACACUCAGAUGCGAAAGCGUGGGGAGCAAACAGGAUUAGAUACCCUGGUAGUCCACGCCGUAAACGAUGUCUACUUGGAGGUUGUGGCCUUGAGCCGUGGCUUUCGGAGCUAACGCGUUAAGUAGACCGCCUGGGGAGUACGGUCGCAAGAUUAAAACUCAAAUGAAUUGACGGGGGCCCGCACAAGCGGUGGAGCAUGUGGUUUAAUUCGAUGCAACGCGAAGAACCUUACCUACUC